rnacentral:lncRNA from 1 species
AUUAUCCUUUUAUGAACUUCAGGUUCAUAUUAUGAUAUUCGAGGAUCUAUACAUACAAAUGAUAAUUCAUCCCAUGUAACCUUUCUCAAGUGUUUAUCGGGUCUCCCCCUCAUGUUAGAAAAGCUAACUUGUUUCCUCAACUUUGAGAUUCCAUCUUUGUGCAUUAUGAUGUUAAUGAAAAUAUACACCGCACAUCAAUAAUAAUAAGAUGUAAUUAUUCGGUUCCUGACCCUGAACCACUUGUGAGGGGAGAAUAUAAUAUACUCUCGUAUACA